AACGAACGCUGGCGGCAGGCUUAACACAUGCAAGUCGAGCGCCCCGCAAGGGGAGCGGCAGACGGGUGAGUAACGCGUGGGAACGUACCUUUUGGUUCGGAACAACUCCGGGAAACUGGAGCUAAUACCGGAUAAGCCCUAACGGGGAAAGAUUUAUCGCCGAAAGAUCGGCCCGCGUCUGAUUAGCUAGUUGGCGAGGUAACGGCUCACCAAGGCGACGAUCAGUAGCUGGUCUGAGAGGAUGAUCAGCCACACUGGGACUGAGACACGGCCCAGACUCCUACGGGAGGCAGCAGUGGGGAAUAUUGGACAAUGGGCGCAAGCCUGAUCCAGCCAUGCCGCGUGAGUGAUGAAGGCCUUAGGGUUGUAAAGCUCUUUUGUCCGGGAAGAUAAUGACUGUACCGGAAGAAUAAGCCCCGGCUAACUUCGUG
rnacentral:rRNA from 1 species